AGGUGUGCCCCCGACCUUUCCCCUUUCCCCUCUGCACGCCUCCUUCCACUACCACCUGAUGGACAUUUACAAACCCCUGGAAUUGGGAAUUGUUUCUAAAGGGCCCUGUUCUAUACCAAUCAGGAAGAUUAGCCCUGAGCUAACAUCUGCCACCAAUCCUCCUGUUUUUUUCUGAGGAAGACUGGCCCUGAGCUAACAUCCAUGCCCAUCUUCCUCUACUUUAUAUGUGGGACACCUGCCACAGCAUGGUUUGACAAGCAGUGAGUAGGACUGCACCCGGGGGCCGAACCGGUGAACUCUGGGCUGCCAAAGCAGAACAUGUGCACUUAACCACUGUGCCACUGGGCUAGUCCCUUAACUGUGUCUUUUGAUGAACAAGAGUUCUAAACUUGAAUGUAAUUGGCUCAUUAUUUUUUAUUCUACUCUGUUUUAAAACUUCUUUUCCCGUCAUAAUGCUGUAAAGAUAUUAUCCAAUAUUGUCUUCUAAAAGUUUGAUUGCAUUCUUUUUCUAUUAGGUCUGUAAUCCAUCUUUUUUAUGCAUAUGGUGUUAAGUAGGGUGUGUAAUUUCAUCCACCUUCCUAUGGUUAUCCAAUUGUCCCAGCACCACUUAUGGCAAGGCCAGUAUUUCCUUGCUCAUUUGCAAGAUUUGAUGAUCUCAGUCAAGCAUCAAAUAUCCACAUUUGGACUCUAAGUUCUGCCAACUAAUCUUUUUGCCUGUAACUGUGCAAAUACCACACCAUUUUAAAUACUAUAACUUUAUAAAUAAAUUUUAUAACUGGUAGGUCAAGUUGCUCCACUUUAUUCACCUUCUUUAAGAGUGGCUUGGUUAUUACUGACCUUUGCUCGUCCACUUAAAUUUUAGGAUUAGUUUGUUCAAAUUCAACAAAAAAAUACCCUGGGAUAUUUCUUGAAAUUUCAUUAAACCUAUAG
rnacentral:lncRNA from 1 species